rnacentral:rRNA from 1 species
UACGGAGGGUGCAAGCGUUAAUCGGAAUUACUGGGCGUAAAGGGUGCGUAGGUGGUGAGGUAAGUCGGAUGUGAAAGCUCGGAGCUCAACUCCGAAAUGGCAUUGGAAACUACCUUGCUCGAGGGUUGGAGGGGGGACUGGAAUGCUUGGUGUAGCAGUGAAAUGCGUAGAUAUCAAGCGGAACACCAGUGGCGAAGGCGAGUCCCUGGACAACUCCUGACACUGAGGCACGAAAGCUAGGGGAGCAAACAGG